rnacentral:tRNA from 1 species
GCGUUUGUGGUCUAGUGGUAGAAUACCUCGUUGCCAUCGAGGUGAUCCGGGUUCGAUUCCCGGCAGACGCA